CCUACGGGAGGCAGCAGUAGGGAAUCUUCCACAAUGGGCGAAAGCCUGAUGGAGCAACGCCGCGUGGGUGAAGAAGGUCUUCGGAUCGUAAAACCCUGUUGUUAGAGAAGAAAGUUCGUGAGAGUAACUGUUCACGUUUCGACGGUAUCUAACCAGAAAGCCACGGCUAACUACGUGCCAGCAGCCGCGGUAAUACGUAGGUGGCAAGCGUUAUCCGGAUUUAUUGGGCGUAAAGGGAACGCAGGCGGUCUUUUAAGUCUGAUGUGAAAGCCUUCGGCUUAACCGGAGUAGUGCAUUGGAAACUGGGAGACUUGAGUGCAGAAGAGGAGAGUGGAACUCCAUGUGUAGCGGUGAAAUGCGUAGAUAUAUGGAAGAACACCAGUGGCGAAGGCGGCUCUCUGGGCUGUAACUGACGCUGAGGUUCGAAAGCGUGGGUAGCAAACAGGAUUAGAUACCUUGGUAGUC
rnacentral:rRNA from 1 species